UAUCCCUUUAAUGCUCAGACACGAGAGGCAGCGAUCGUGACCAUCACCCAGCACCAGUGCUGAUUUCAAACAUCCACUCUGGACACUCUGAAGAAACACCAAAACCCAAAGUGAGCAUUAAACCUGCUCAACAUGUAUUCAGAGGAGAGACAGUCACUCUCAGAUGUGACAUUGAUGGUGAAGGAGUCAUUAGCUGGCAGUACAGCUGGUAUAAAGAUGGUUCAGGCAGUGUUUUCAGUGAACUACAGGAACACACAUUCAGUCCUGUUACUGAGUCUGACGCAGGUAAAUACUCCUGUUAUGGAGCAGAGAGAGGAGGAUCACGCAGCUCAAACAUCAGUGAUGAAGUUACACUGACAG